rnacentral:rRNA from 1 species
AUCUUGGCAGGGUGCAAUGUGGUGUUUGGGAGGGUCCAUUCGUGCCUGGAGCUCUGGUGUCCAAGUCCCCCUGACCGGGGCCAUCGCCCAUUGAGGGUGCUAGGCCUGUUGGGUAGGGCUGCGUCGCCGAUCCGGGCGCGUUGGGUCCCUUCCUAGGAGUCGGGUUGCUUGAGAGUGCAGCCCAAAGUGGGUGGUAAACUCCACCUAAGGCUAAAUACUUUCCACGAGACCGAUAGCAAACAAGUACCGUGAGGGAAAGUUGCAAAGAACUUUGAAGAGAGAGUUCAAGAGUGCGUGAAACCGUUCGGAGGUAAACGGGUGGGAGCGCGAAGGUCGAACGGAUGGGGAGGGAUUCAACUUGGCGUGGCGGCUGGCCUGCCUGGAUCGCGUGUGGGCAUGUCAACUUACCCUUAACGGGGAGGUUCGGCUGCCCCGCGUUCUGCCGGUGUCCAGUCUGCCGUGCCUCGCGCAUUUCCCUGUUCCCCCUCUCCUAGUAGGACGCCGCGACCGGCUGUCGAGGGGAGCCCAGGAGCUGGUUGGAGCAUCUGCGCGAACGAGUGUGGGAACCCAGUUCUCUGCGUCCGGUCUGUCUGUCUCCUUCCGUUCUGCGGGUCGCUCCCUCCGGCCGAGGAAUUGUGUGAGAGGUGGGCCCUCAUGGUCCCUCGUCCAUGAACGCGUCCCCGAUCUGUCGGAGCGGGUCGAAAGAUCCCAACGGGUGGCGGCGGGUGGCCUUGCGCCGGUCUGACGACCGUGCGCUCGGACUCUGCGCGUCAGCCGCCGUCGGUCAGGGUGCGGAGUCUCGGUUUGGACGCUGGGGGUCGGCGCCGCGUAGAUCGGUUUCCCUCCCGACCGGUCUUGAAACACGGACCAAGAAGUCCAAUGGGUGGGAGAGUCUUCGGGGCAUGAUUGAACCCUUGGAUGGCGCAAUUAAAGUGAAGGUGGGCUUGCGCGCCGCGUGUGCGCGUCCCCUCAUUGGGUUGCGCGCGCGUCGGCUGCCGCCCGCUGUAGUGGGAUCCCCCGUCUGUUGGCGAGGGCGCACCACU